AUUGAACGCUGGCGGCAGGCCUAACACAUGCAAGUCGAGCGGCAGCGGGAAAGUAGCUUGCUACUUUUGCCGGCGAGCGGCGGACGGGUGAGUAAUGCCUGGGAAAUUGCCCAGUCGAGGGGGAUAACAGUUGGAAACGACUGCUAAUACCGCAUACGCCCUACGGGGGAAAGCAGGGGACCUUCGGGCCUUGCGCGAUUGGAUAUGCCCAGGUGGGAUUAGCUAGUUGGUGAGGUAAUGGCUCACCAAGGCGACGAUCCCUAGCUGGUCUGAGAGGAUGAUCAGCCACACUGGAACUGAGAGACGGUCCAGGCUCCUACGGGAGGCGGCAGUGGGGAAUAUUGCACAAUGGGGGAAACCCUGAUGCAGCCAUGCCGCGUGUGUGAAGAAGGCCUUCGGGUUGUAAAGCACUUUCAGCGAGGAGGAAAGGUUGAUGCCUAAUACGUAUCAACUGUGACGUUACUCGCAGAAGAAGCACCGGCUAACUCCGUGCCAGCCGCCGCGGUAA
rnacentral:rRNA from 1 species